AUAAAGGGGAAGCAGCGUUUUUCUUCUGCAUAGUAAAGUUUCAAAGCUGUAUUAAGUCAAUGUUCACUUGUAAACUUUUAAAAACAACCAUAAUAUUUUGUUCAGAGUUCUGAACGUUUCCGAGUUAUGAACAUCCUUCAUUCCCAAGGUGUUCAGAACUCUGAGGUUCUACUGUGGUAUAAAGACUGUGAAUUUCCUGUU